rnacentral:rRNA from 1 species
CAGCAGCCGCGGUAAAACGUAGGUGGCAAGCGUUGUCCGGAAUUAUUGGGCGUAAAGGGCUCGCAGGCGGUUUCUUAAGUCUGAUGUGAAAGCCCCCGGCUCAACCGGGGAGGGUCAUUGGAAACUGGGAAACUUGAGUGCAGAAGAGGGGAGUGGAAUUCCACGUGUAGCGGUGAAAUGCGUAGAGAUGUGGAGGAACACCAGUGGCGAAGGCGACUCUCUGGUCUGUAGCUGACGCUGAGGAGCGAAAGCGUGGGGAGCGAACAGGAUUAGAUACCCGCGUAGUCCCUGUCUCUUAUAC